UGUAAUAGGUGAAUGCUGUUAAUUAUGCUGGAAUGGGUGAGAACUCAUCAGAAAUUUAUGUUUCACUAACAAUGCCUACUGCUAAACCUAGUGCAAACCUAGCAGCAAUAAUAGUCCCAUCAGUGCUUGUUUUUUGCUUGGUUGUUCUAAUCCUGGUAGUCAUUGCUGUUGUUGCAUUUAUAUAUUUCAAAAGAAUCAAAGGGAAAAAUACAAACGGAGACAAC